rnacentral:rRNA from 1 species
AUCGGACUAGGAUAUAGCUGGUUUUCUGCGAAAUCUAUUUUAGUAGAUGAUUUAUAUAUUUUAUUAGAGGGUAUAGCACUGAAUAUUUACAAUCUAUAAUUAUUCUGUGUAUAAUGAAUAUAUAGAUAUAUAUAUAUAUAUGUAUAUAUAUAUUAUAUAAUAUAUAUAAUAAUUAUAUAAUAAUUGAGUAAUGAUAAGUUGUUGAGAGGAGUAUGAAAGUACUUACUUUGGAUAUUUAAUCUCAGAAUAUCUAAUAAAAAGAAAUAAGUUAUCAGACUUAUUGCGAGAAGGUGAUA